rnacentral:rRNA from 1 species
UGGGGAAUAUUGCACAAUGGGCGCAAGCCUGAUGCAGCCAUGCCGCGUGUGUGAAGAAGGCCUUCGGGUUGUAAAGCACUUUCAGCGAGGAGGAAGGUGGUGAGCUUAAUACGCUCAUCAAUUGACGUUACUCGCAGAAGAAGCACCGGCUAACUCCGUGCCAGCAGCCGCGGUAAUACGGAGGGUGCAAGCGUUAAUCGGAAUUACUGGGCGUAAAGCGCACGCAGGCGGUUUGUUAAGUCAGAUGUGAAAUCCCCGGGCUCAACCUGGGAACUGCAUUUGAAACUGGCAAGCUAGAGUCUCGUAGAGGGGGGUAGAAUUCCAGGUGUAGCGGUGAAAUGCGUAGAGAUCUGGAGGAAUACCGGUGGCGAAGGCGGCCCCCUGGACGAAGACUGACGCUCAGGUGCGAAAGCGUGGGGCAGCAAACAGGAUUAGAUACCCUGGUAGUCCAGCGCUGUAAACGAUGUCGAUUUGGAGGUUGUGCCCUUGAGGCGUGGCUUCCGGAGCUAACGCGUUAAAUCGACCGCCUGGGGAGUACGGCCGCAAGGUUAAAACUCAAAGGAAUUGACGGGGUC